rnacentral:rRNA from 1 species
GUAGGUGGCAAACGUUAUCCGGAAUUAUUGGGCGUAAAGCGCGCGUAGGCGGUUUUUUAAGUCUGAUGUGAAAGCCCACGGCUCAACCGUGGAGGGUCAUUGGAAACUGGAAAACUUGAGUGCAGAAGAGGAAAGUGGAAUUCCAUGUGUAGCGGUGAAAUGCGCAGAGAUAUGGAGGAACACCAGUGGCGAAGGCGACUUUCUGGUCUGUAACUGACGCUGAUGUGCGAAAGCGUGGGGAUCAAACAGGAUUAGAUACCCUGGUAGUCCACGCCGUAAACGAUGAGUGCUAAGUGUUAGGGGGUUUCCGCCCCUUAGUGCUGCAGCUAACGCAUUAAGCACUCCGCCUGGGGAGUACGACCGCAAGGUUG